rnacentral:rRNA from 1 species
CACGUAGGGUGCGAGCGUUGUCCGGAAUUAUUGGGCGUAAAGAGCUCGUAGGCGGUGUGUCGCGUCGGCCGUGAAAACCUGCAGCUUAACUGUGGGCUUGCGGUCGAUACGGGCAUCACUGGAGUUCGGCAGGGGAGACUGGAAUUCCUGGUGUAGCGGUGAAAUGCGCAGAUAUCAGGAGGAACACCGGUGGCGAAGGCGGUCAACUGGUCCAUUACUGACACUAAAGCACGAAAGCGUGGGUAGCGAACAGG